UACGGAGGAUGCGAGCGUUAUCCGGAUUUAUUGGGUUUAAAGGGUGCGUAGGCGGGAUGCCAAGUCAGCGGUAAAAAUGCGGUGCUCAACGCUGUCGAGCCGUUGAAACUGGCGUUCUUGAGUGGGCGAGAAGUAUGCGGAAUGCGUGGUGUAGCGGUGAAAUGCAUAGAUAUCACGCAGAACUCCGAUUGCGAAGGCAGCAUACCGGCGCCCUACUGACACUGAGGCUCGAAAGCGUGGGGAGCAAACAGG
rnacentral:rRNA from 1 species